rnacentral:rRNA from 1 species
GGUUAAGCGACUAAGCGUACACGGUGGAUGCCCUGGCAGUCAGAGGCGAUGAAGGACGUGCUAAUCUGCGAAAAGCGUCGGUAAGGUGAUAUGAACCGUUAUAACCGGCGAUGUCCGAAUGGGGAAACCCAGUGCAAUUCGUUGCACUAUCGUUAACUGAAUACAUAGGUUAACGAGGCGAACCGGGGGAACUGAAACAUCUAAGUACCCCGAGGAAAAGAAAUCAACCGAGAUUCCCCCAGUAGCGGCGAGCGAACGGGGAGCAGCCCAGAGUCUGAAUCAGCUUGUGUGUUAGUGGAACGGUCUGGAAAGUCCGACGGUACAGGGUGAUAGUCCCGUACACCAAAAUGCACAGGUUGUGAACUCGAAGAGUAGGGCGGGACACGUGGUAUCCUGUCUGAAUAUGGGGGGACCAUCCUCCAAGGCUAAAUACUCCUGACUGACCGAUAGUGAACCAGUACCGUGAGGGAAAGGCGAAAAGAACCCCGGCGAGGGGAGUGAAAAAGAACCUGAAACCGUGUACGUACAAGCAGUGGGAGCACCUUCGGGUGUGACUGCGUACCUUUUGUAUAAUGGGUCAGCGACUUAUAUUCUGUAGCAAGGUUAACCGUAUAGGGGAGCCGCAGGGAAACCGAGUCUUAACUGGGCGUUAAGUUGCAGGGUAUAGACCCGAAACCCGGUGAUCUAGCCAUGGGCAGGUUGAAGGUUGGGUAACACUAACUGGAGGACCGAACCGACUAAUGUUGAAAAAUUAGCGGAUGACUUGUGGCUGGGGGUGAAAGGCCAAUCAAACCGGGAGAUAGCUGGUUCUCCCCGAAAGCUAUUUAGGUAGCGCCUCGUGAACUCAUCUUCGGGGGUAGAGCACUGUUUCGGCUAGGGGGUCAUCCCGACUUACCAACCCGAUGCAAACUACGAAUACCGAAGAAUGUUAUCACGGGAGACACACGGCGGGUGCUAACGUCCGUCGUGAAGAGGGAAACAACCCAGACCGCCAGCUAAGGUCCCAAAGUCAUGGUUAAGUGGGAAACGAUGUGGGAAGGCACAGACAGCCAGGAUGUUGGCUUAGAAGCAGCCAUCAUUUAAAGAAAGCGUAAUAGCUCACUGGUCGAGUCGGCCUGCGCGGAAGAUGUAACGGGGCUAAACCAUGCACCGAAGCUGCGGCAGCGACACUAUGUGUUGUUGGGUAGGGGAGCGUUCUGUAAGCCUGCGAAGGUGUGCUGUGAGGCAUGCUGGAGGUAUCAGAAGUGCGAAUGCUGACAUAAGUAACGAUAAAGCGGGUGAAAAGCCCGCUCGCCGGAAGACCAAGGGUUCCUGUCCAACGUUAAUCGGGGCAGGGUGAGUCGACCCCUAAGGCGAGGCCGAAAGGCGUAGUCGAUGGGAAACAGGUUAAUAUUCCUGUACUUGGUGUUACUGCGAAGGGGGGACGGAGAAGGCUAUGUUAGCCGGGCGACGGUUGUCCCGGUUUAAGCAUGUAGGCUGGUUGUCCAGGCAAAUCCGGAUAAUCAAGGCUGAGGUGUGAUGACGAGGCACUACGGUGCUGAAGUAACAAAUGCCCUGCUUCCAGGAAAAGCCUCUAAGCAUCAGGUAACAUCAAAUCGUACCCCAAACCGACACAGGUGGUCAGGUAGAGAAUACCAAGGCGCUUGAGAGAACUCGGGUGAAGGAACUAGGCAAAAUGGUGCCGUAACUUCGGGAGAAGGCACGCUGGUGUGUAGGUGAAGUCCCUGCGGAUGGAGCUGAGACCAGUCGAAGAUACCAGCUGGCUGCAACUGUUUAUUAAAAACACAGCACUGUGCAAACACGAAAGUGGACGUAUACGGUGUGACGCCUGCCCGGUGCCGGAAGGUUAAUUGAUGGGGUUAUCCGUAAGGAGAAGCUCUUGAUCGAAGCCCCGGUAAACGGCGGCCGUAACUAUAACGGUCCUAAGGUAGCGAAAUUCCUUGUCGGGUAAGUUCCGACCUGCACGAAUGGCGUAAUGAUGGCCAGGCUGUCUCCACCCGAGACUCAGUGAAAUUGAACUCGCUGUGAAGAUGCAGUGUACCCGCGGCAAGACGGAAAGACCCCGUGAACCUUUACUAUAGCUUGACACUGAACAUUGAGCCUUGAUGUGUAGGAUAGGUGGGAGGCUUUGAAGCGUGGACGCCAGUCUGCGUGGAGCCAACCUUGAAAUACCACCCUUUAAUGUUUGAUGUUCUAACGUUGGCCCCUUACCGGGGUUGCGGACAGUGUCUGGUGGGUAGUUUGACUGGGGCGGUCUCCUCCCAAAGCGUAACGGAGGAGCACGAAGGUUAGCUAAUCCUGGUCGGACAUCAGGAGGUUAGUGCAAUGGCAUAAGCUAGCUUGACUGCGAGCGUGACGGCGCGAGCAGGUGCGAAAGCAGGUCAUAGUGAUCCGGUGGUUCUGAAUGGAAGGGCCAUCGCUCAACGGAUAAAAGGUACUCCGGGGAUAACAGGCUGAUACCGCCCAAGAGUUCAUAUCGACGGCGGUGUUUGGCACCUCGAUGUCGGCUCAUCACAUCCUGGGGCUGAAGUAGGUCCCAAGGGUAUGGCUGUUCGCCAUUUAAAGUGGUACGCGAGCUGGGUUUAGAACGUCGUGAGACAGUUCGGUCCCUAUCUGCCGUGGGCGCUGGAGAAUUGAGGGGGGCUGCUCCUAGUACGAGAGGACCGGAGUGGACGCAUCACUGGUGUUCGGGUUGUCAUGCCAAUGGCACUGCCCGGUAGCUAAAUGCGGAAGAGAUAAGUGCUGAAAGCAUCUAAGCACGAAACUUGCCCCGAGAUGAGUUCUCCCUGAGACUUUAAGUCUCCUGAAGGAACGUUGAAGACGACGACGUUGAUAGGCCGGGUGUGUAAGCGCAGCGAUGCGUUGAGCUAACCGGUACUAAUGAACCGUGAGGCUUAACCUUACAACGCCGAAGAUGUUUUG